rnacentral:rRNA from 1 species
UACGGAGGAUGCAAGCGUUAUCCGGAAUGAUUGGGCGUAAAGCGUCCGCAGGUGGCUAUGUAAGUCUGCUGUUAAAGAGUGAGGCUCAACCUCAUAAGUGCAGUGGAAACUACAUGGCUAGAGUGCGUUCGGGGCAGAGGGAAUUCCUGGUGUAGCGGUGAAAUGCGUAGAUAUUGGGAGGAACACCGGUGGCGAAGGCGACCGCCUGGACGAUGACUGACGCUGAGGCGCGAGAGCGUGGGGAGCAAACAGG